rnacentral:rRNA from 1 species
AACGGCGAGUGAAGAGGGAAUAGCCCAGCACCGAAGCCUGCGGCAGAUUUGCUGUUAGGCAAUGUGGUGUUUGGGUCGGCUAGUGGGAUUGCCACUCCACUCGAAGUCCAGCAUUGAGUAUGGUCACUGGAUUUGGCCCAGAGAGGGUGAAAGGCCCGUACGGGUGGAGGUUCAGACAUGUAAGGCAGUUCACCAGGCCGGCCUUAGAGUCGGGUUGUUUGGGAAUGCAGCCCAAAGAGGGUGGUAAACUCCAUCCAAGGCUAAAUACAAGCACGAGUCCGAUAGCGAACAAGUACCGUGAGGGAAAGUUGAAAAGUACUUUGAAGAGAGAGUAAACAGUACGUGAAACCGCAUGCAGGUAAACGGGUGGCGUCAAGCUGCAAGCCCAGAGAAUUCAGCUGACUAGGGUGCAUGCGUCUGUCGCAUCAAUCAGUCGGAAUAAGAUGUUAAUAGUCCACUGGGUUACGGUGGGCCCGGCCGCAAGGUUGGGACAUGCGUACCGGGCGGAAGCCGGAGCAUACUGUUCAUCUGUUGGACUGUCUAGUUAGUGCACUUUCUCUGUGGUGAACACCACGACCGGUGGAAUUGCCAGUCUGCUGUAGUCAAGUUGUGCUGAGCUGGUUCUUGUAAUCAGCUGGGUGCGAUCACAGGCAAACUCAGUAAACGGCGUAAGGGUGUUUCGGCACCUUUGCGUGUUAUCGGCUACUGGUUGUCAACGGGCCUGCCUUAUGAUUGUUGUAACUGUCAUUUGGUGGUCUGGUGGGCUAUGGUGGUAUGAAUAACUGUGCAAGGCAUCGGAGUUUUCGGCCUCAAAUGCAUCCCGCAUACACGUUACAAGUGGUGCGGGGUGCCAUUGCUGUCUGCCUGUUGUUGGGUCUGAUUGUCGUGUCGCCUGCACAAAGUGGGCCCGGCAGUGGCUCGAUAUGGGAUAGGUGGUGGAUGGUGCUCCCGGUGUGGGGUGCGGUGGGCCAAAUAGUCAGUGGUGUAGUGGUAGACGAGCUACCCGACCCGUCUUGAAACACGGACCAAGGAGUUUAACAUGUAUGCAAGUCAUGGGGUCCUACGAAACCCAAAGGCGCAGUGAAAGUGAAGCUUCGACUUGUUCUCGAAGUGAGGUGAGAUCCUGUCGUUACUCGCAUCAGCCUAAUGUCAGCAUCAGGUUAAGAGCGGCAGGCGCAUCACCGGCCCGUCCCAUGAUGUGGUCAUUGGAUGUCUGUAGUUGUCGCUCGCGGCAGCUGUGGUGCCAGUGCGUC